AAAAAAAAAAAAAAAGAAAAAUGAUUUAUUUAUUUUAAAAAAAUGAGAAAGAGUUGAAUUCUCCACCAACUUUGUUCUCGUCGAGUAAGUGAACUGUCUCUCCUCAUUCUCUCAACGGAUUUUCCAAAGCCUCUCUAUCUCUAACCAAAGAAUAAAUAAAACCACAACCCAAAGCAAGCUGAGUAGGCAAUCACUGCCAGACGACGAAGGAAAAAUUCUCUGAAGCGCAAGAGUGAGUGAAAAUGCAGGCAUCUACGUGUGCGGUUAAAGGGACCGCCACCAGCAUAAGCGUCGGUUCUCAGCCUCUUAACCGGAGGAGACUGCUCGCUGCGUGUGGCCUUUCCGGUGGUUAUAGGAAGAGUAGUUCAUUAUCGGUAUCAGUGUCGUCUUUUAAUAAUAACAGUUACAUGACUGGCAGGAUCAGUUUCUGUGGACUGCGUCCAGCCGAUUCGGUCUCCAUGGGAACCGAACUCGUGCGUACUGCCUUUUCUAGGUCCCGUCUGGUUAAGGCUCUGUCCUCCGAUGGAGAUAUCGAAGAAGCUGCUCCUAUCCAUCCUCAGACAAAAUCUUCUGGAAUUGUCUUGCCGUUCGUCGGUGUUGCUUGUUUGGGUGCAAUUUUAUUUGGAUAUCAUCUUGCGGUGGUGAAUGGUGCUCUUGAGUAUCUUGCCAAGGAUCUCGGAAUCGCUGAAAACACUGUUCUACAAGGAUGGAUCGUUAGCACGCUGCUUGCUGGUGCCACAGUUGGUUCUUUUACAGGGGGAGCAUUGGCGGACAAGUUUGGCAGGACAAGAACUUUUCAACUAGAUGCAAUUCCUCUCAUAAUUGGAGCAUUUCUCUGUACUACUGCACAGAGUGUACAGACUAUGAUAAUUGGUCGUCUUCUUGCUGGUAUUGGAAUUGGCAUAUCUUCAGCCAUUGUGCCUCUUUACAUAUCAGAGAUUUCACCAACUGAAAUUCGUGGUGCUCUGGGGUCUGUAAACCAACUUUUCAUUUGUAUUGGGAUUCUGUUGGCAUUAGUGGCUGGACUACCAUUAGCAGGAAACCCUUUAUGGUGGAGAACAAUGUUUGGCAUUGCUGCUCUCCCUGCUAUUCUAUUGGUUCUGGGAAUGGCAUUUUCUCCAGAAAGUCCUAGAUGGCUUUUUCAGGUUCUUCUGUGGGAUUUAAUCCCCUCAAUGGAGUCUUAGAAUAUUUUUAUGUGUUUCAUUGUAACUAAAUAUGGAUUAUUCAUUCAUUGAUAAACUGUUAUUGAUCAAACACAUUGUCUUGCAGCAAGGAAAAAUUUCUGAAGCGGAAAAGUCCAUAAGGACACUCUAUGGAAAAGAAAGAGUUGCUGAGAUUAUGCAAGAUUUAGCAGUUGGAGGUCAAGGUUCUGCAGAGCCAGAAGCAGGAUGGUUUGAUCUAUUUAGCAGCCGCUAUUGGACAGUUGUGAGUGUUGGUGUAGCACUUUUCUUUUUCCAGCAAAUGGCUGGGAUAAAUGCUGUGGUGUAUUAUUCUACUGCUGUGUUCCGCAGUGUUGGAAUUGCAUCUGAUGUUGCAGCAAGUGCUCUUGUUGGGGCAUCAAAUGUCUUUGGCACAACUGUGGCUUCAUCUUUAAUGGACAGACAAGGAAGAAAAAGUCUUCUAAUUACAAGCUUUCUGGGAAUGGCUGCUUCAAUGUUGCUGCUUUCUUUGUCCUUCACUUGGAAGGUCCUGGCACCAUAUUCUGGCACCCUUGCUGUUCUUGGGACUGUUUGGUAAGCUAGUGAUUUUCCUUGCUAGAUAAGUGGAAGCUCUUUUGGUGUUUGGAAUUUUAUCUUCUAAUGGCUUGUGAAAUCUAAAUGUCUUUUAUCUCAUAACGCA
rnacentral:misc_RNA from 1 species